CGACCGGCGCACGGGUGAGUAACACGUAUCCAACCUGCCGAUAACUCGGGGAUAGCCUUUCGAAAGAAAGAUUAAUAUCCGAUAGGAUAUCAAGAUCGCAUGAUCUUGAUAUUAAAGAAUCUCGGUUAUCGAUGGGGAUGCGUUCCAUUAGUUAGUUGGCGGGGUAACGGCCCACCAAGACGACGAUGGAUAGGGGUUCUGAGAGGAAGGUCCCCCACAUUGGAACUGAGACACGGUCCAAACUCCUACGGGAGGCAGCAG
rnacentral:rRNA from 1 species